AAACUGUGUUGUGGGCAUGAACUGACAAGAUUCUUGAACCGCUCCUAACAUUGAAAGAAUAUUUCAUUUUUCUUUUGGGCAAAGUUCAUUAUUCACCUUCUGAGGGU